AUUGAACGCUGGCGGCAGGCCUAACACAUGCAAGUCGAACGAGUGGCGGACGGGUGAGUAAUGUCUGGGAAACUGCCCGAUGGAGGGGGAUAACACCGGGAACGGGUGGCAAAUACCCCAAACAAUGGGAGGUGCCCAGAUGGGAUUAGCUAGUAGGUGGGGUAACGGCUCACCUAGGCGACGAUCCCUAGCUGGUCUGAGAGGAUGACCAGCCACACUGGAACUGAGACACGGUCCAGACUCCUACGGGAGGCAGCAGUGGGGAAUAUUGCACAAUGGGCGCAAGCCUGAUGCAGCCAUGCCGCGUGUAUGAAGAAGGCCUUCGGGUUGUAAAGUACUUUCAGCGGGGAGGCGUUACCCGCAGAAGAAGCACCGGCUAACUCCGUGCCAGCCGCCGCGGUAAUUC
rnacentral:rRNA from 1 species